rnacentral:misc_RNA from 1 species
CUAUACUAUACCAACAGAUAUCAGACAGUUCAAAAAUAUCUGAAUAUUAUAAGGAAUUCGAAACAACGACCAUAAUUCAACAUAUCAUAUUUUUGAAAAUAUCAAAUGAAACAAAAGAUGUCGUGAUUGAAACUGAUUUGACUUUAGAUGCUGAUUUGACUCCAUCAUCGUUUGUCCAAUUCUAUGGAUUGUGAUCAAAUUUGUACUGAAAUGAGAAUACUACGCGGCCACCUCCUGUACCUCGGCUGGAUAUGCGACAGAAUGCGAUAUCGCAUCCCUGUGUCCAUGUACAAUCAUAUGUUCCACCACCAUUUCAUCAUCGGGAUGUUAAUGGCGAUGGCUUUUAUGACGCUGUAUCCGACAAUGCACGUAACGGGACAGGACUCAAGCGGCGAACGAGGUCACAUCUCUCCCUUGACCCAAGGGGUGUCAUCCCGCGUCGUUUGGGACAUCAUCAGAAGUGGAAUCUCUAGCUUCUUCCAUGACAUGAACACCACCUUCAACGGCACGGUCCCGGGAACGGUUUCACUCCAGCUGCACUGGGUGAACAAAAGCCACGCCCAUGAAGAUGAUCGGGAAGCUAAUAUCAACCUGAUUAGGAAGCCCUUUACGCUGGUUGACAGUCUCGACUUGGUGGAUCGCCUUGAGAAAAGCAGGUACGUGGCCCGCCAUACCACGGUGAUACUAGUCAUUACGGCUACCAUAGUGCCUGAAGUCGGAAUCACCAUCUCAGGAGCCAGCUUUACCGUCUGGAACGAAGGAUAUCGCUACCGGUCUUGGUUGAUAUCACAUUCUAAAACAGUCGUCUAUUUCGGAUAUGGCAACUAUCUUGCCAUCUUCAUAUGCUUUUCGAUCGCCCUCCUUGUCUUAAUCACCUUAGUAAUCUUUUUAAGUUCUCACAACCGAGAAAUCGAUAGAUUUAUCCAUAUCACUCACUUCUUCAAUAUCUUAAUCCUCAUCCAUCUUUGUUUAAUGUCCAUGCGCUGCCUCGAUUUCUUUUCCUUCCAUACAAAAGCGUUUAAUGAAACGGAAGCAUCCUUUCAGGCCAUCCUUGGAAAACGAGUGGCCAAUACUUCCAACUUCACUUUUGACUCGAACCUCCGUUUUUGGAGUAGUGUUGUUGAGCCAGCGCCUGAGAUAGAUGAAGAUCGACAGCUGAUAAAUGAUACUCAUAACAGAUUCGACGACGUCUUUACUUUCGGAGUUAAUUUAAAGGAAAAGUUCGAGGAAGGAGACAUACUUCACGGAGAAUGGGACGAUGAGGGUGACCACUCGCACUUCUACACUCACACAGAGGAAACAGACCAACUCGAUGGGGAAAGUGUCCAAGAUAAUGGAACUUAUCAUCACCAUCACAAACCCAUCCCGAAGUCACGCGAGAAAGCAGGAGCCACCAACAACAACACAGAAGUUCUGCGACUGUUUUCGGAGCUCAUUGCUUUGAUCAUGGACUUCGAGCUCACAAUACCUCCCGUAUUUAUAAUCUGUGGCUGCAAGUUUUUGUACCAUUUUUUGUCCAGUGUUAGGCGUAUUACGAGAAGGUUCUUCAUAGGCCUCUUCUUUAUAUACAUGUCCAUCUUUCUCUUCUUUUAUCUGGAAAGUUUUAGUGGCGCCUUGAACUACGUGCAGUCUCUCGAAAACGCAUUCGGACAAGUUUCCUAUGUCUUGCAGGGGGUUGAUAAUCCCUAUACUUGGAUAAUAGGCUUUCUCUUGUGCAUUUUAAUUGCUUUUUUUACUCCAAAUUAUGAAAAGAUUAGGAACAUACAACUGAAUCAGAAGAGGACUGGAGAGAUGGUAGUCUUUGGGAGACUGUAAAUCAAGGAACUUGUUUCGGGAAAUGUACAUUUUCGGGUGUGAUAUUUUGUAUCAAGAGGGAAAAGUCCUGUUUUUAUUAUCUACUUAUUUCGGCAUUUGCUUUUAUGUGUAUCGGAAUGAUUUUGUGAAUAGUAUAUUGUAGUUCAAAACGGAUAGAUGAGUAUGUGGGAAAGUCAUGUAAACUUAGAAAGAGUAGUUUUUUUUUCUUUCUUUCUUUCUUUCUUUUUUAGUUUUCGCACUUUCUGUAGGUUAGCAUAGGAAUAACCAAAAUAUACAGUUAUCUUGUAAGUGUUCAAAAAACGAAUUACUUUUCAUUUCAUGUAGUUGUUAUCUUAUAUUUCAAAUAUUUGUUGUCUCUUCCCCUACUUUAUUUUUCCGUAUAUUUCGCGAUUUGCCAUUAUUUGUGUAUCCAGCUUUAUAAAGGAUGUUUGAUGUACCCUCUGAAAAUAAAAUGAGAGAUGGUAUAACCCUGUGUUCUCUGUCGGUAUUUUUGAUUCUGAGAUAACUAUGUGUUUUAGAAGUCAGUAUUUUUUGGUUUACAUUUUGAUUUGCAUAGCAACAUUUGGCUACUGUAGAAGCCUGAACACACACAUACAGUCACACACAUACACACAUACGCACACACACACACACACACACACACACACACACACACACACACACACACACACACACACACACACACACACACACACACACACAUACACACACACACACAUAUACACAUACAUAAAUAAAUACAAACACACACAAACUGACACACACAGCAAAAUGCACAUCUGCAAACACACAGAAGAAGGUCAGCAAGCGCCCUUCGUUUCUAUGUUUUCGGGAAAAAUAAUGUAUUGUAUAUAACCUCUUGUUCAGUUCUUCUCUAGCCUAAUAUCAGGGACCUGCAUAUACUUGUAUUUGUAAAAGUCAAUACAUUACGU